GACGAACGCUGGCGGCGUGCUUAACACAUGCAAGUCGAACGGAAAGGCCCUGCUUUUGUGGGGUGCUCGAGUGGCGAACGGGUGAGUAACACGUGAGUAACCUGCCCUUGACUUUGGGAUAACUUCAGGAAAAUGGGGCUAAUAUCGGAUAGGAGCUCCUGCUGAAUGGUGGGGGUUGGAAAGUUUCGGCGGUUGGGGAUGGACUCGCGGCUUAUCAGCUUGUUGGUGGGGUAGUGGCUUACCAAGGCUUUGACGGGUAGCCGGCGUGAGAGGGUGACCGGCCACAUUGGGACUGAGAUACGGCCCAGACUCCUACGGGAGGCAGCAGUGGGGAAUAUUGCACAAUGGGCGGAAGCCAGAUGCAGCAGCGCCGCGUGCGGAAUGACGGCCUUCGGGUUGUAAACCGCUUUCGCCUGUGACGAAGCGUGAGUGACGGUAAUUAGUAAAGAAGCACCGGCUAACUACGUG
rnacentral:rRNA from 1 species